AUUGAACGCUGGCGGCAGGCCUAACACAUGCAAGUCGAACGAGAGGCGGACGGGUGAGUAAUGUCUGGGAAACUGCCCGAUGGAGGGGGAUAACUACUGGAAACGGUAGCUAAUACCGCAUACCAUCGGAUGUGCCCAGAGGGGAUUAGCUUGUAGGUGAGGUAACGUCUCACCUAGGCGACGAUCCCUAGCUGGUCUGAGAGGAUGAACAGCCAGACUGGAACUGAGACACUGUGCAGACGCCUACGGGAGUCAGCAGUGGUGAGUAUUGUAAAAUGGGCGAAAGCCUGCUGCAGCCAUGCCGCGUGUAUGAAGAAGGCCUUCGGGUUGUAAAGUACUUUCAGCGGGGAGGCGUUACCCGCAGAAGAAGCACCGGCUAACUCCGGGCCAGCAGCCGCGGUAAUUC
rnacentral:rRNA from 1 species